CAGUAGCCACGGUAAUACGUAGGGAGCUAGCGUUGUUCGGAAUUACUGGGCGUAAAGCGCACGUAGGCGGCUAUUCAAGUCAGGGGUGAAAGCCCGGGGCUCAACCCCGGAACUGCCUUUGAAACUAGAUAGCUUGAAUCUUGGAGAGGCGAGUGGAAUUCCGAGUGUAGAGGUGAAAUUCGUAGAUAUUCGGAAGAACACCGGUGGCGAAGGCGGCGACCUGGUCCUUGACUGACGCUGAGGCGCGAAAGCGUGGGGAGCAAACAGGAUUAGAUACCCGCGUAGUCCCUGUCUCUUAUAC
rnacentral:rRNA from 1 species